rnacentral:rRNA from 1 species
ACUAUAAUGCAGUCGAGCGGACCGACGGGAGCUUGCUCCCUUAGGUCAGCGGCGGACGGGUGAGUAACACGUGGGUAACCUGCCUGUAAGACUGGGAUAACUCCGGGAAACCGGGGCUAAUACCGGAUGCUUGAUUGAACCGCAUGGUUCAAUCAUAAAAGGUGGCUUUUAGCUACCACUUGCAGAUGGACCCGCGGCGCAUUAGCUAGUUGGUGAGGUAACGGCUCACCAAGGCGACGAUGCGUAGCCGACCUGAGAGGGUGAUCGGCCACACUGGGACUGAGACACGGCCCAGACUCCUACGGGAGGCAGCAGUAGGGAAUCUUCCGCAAUGGACGAAAGUCUGACGGAGCAACGCCGCGUGAGUGAUGAAGGUUUUCGGAUCGUAAAACUCUGUUGUUAGGGAAGAACAAGUACCGUUCGAAUAGGGCGGCACCUUGACGGUACCUAACCAGAAAGCCACGGCUAACUACGUGCCAGCAGCCGCGGUAAUACGUAGGUGGCAAGCGUUGUCCGGAAUUAUUGGGCGUAAAGCGCGCGCAGGCGGUUUCUUAAGUCUGAUGUGAAAGCCCCCGGCUCAACCGGGGAGGGUCAUUGGAAACUGGGGAACUUGAGUGCAGAAGAGGAGAGUGGAAUUCCACGUGUAGCGGUGAAAUGCGUAGAGAUGUGGAGGAACACCAGUGGCGAAGGCGACUCUCUGGUCUGUAACUGACGCUGAGGCGCGAAAGCGUGGGGAGCGAACAGGAUUAGAUACCCUGGUAGUCCACGCCGUAAACGAUGAGUGCUAAGUGUUAGAGGGUUUCCGCCCUUUAGUGCUGCAGCAAACGCAUUAAGCACUCCGCCUGGGGAGUACGGUCGCAAGACUGAAACUCAAAGGAAUUGACGGGGGCCCGCACAAGCG